rnacentral:lncRNA from 1 species
AUGCUCAAAAUUCUCCAAGCCAGGCUUCAACAGUACAUGAACUAUGAACUUCCUGAUGUUCAAGCUGGUUUUAGAAAAGGCAGAGGAACCAGAGAUCAAACUGCCAACAUCUGUUGGAUCACAGAAAAAGCAAGAGAGUUCCAGAAAAACAUCUAUUUCUGCUUUAUUGACUAUGCCAAAGCCUUUGACUGUGUGGAUCACAACAAACUGUGGAAAAUUCUGAACGAGAUGGGAAUACCAGACUACCUGACCUGCCUCUUGAGAAACCUACAUGCAGGUCAAGAAGCAACAGUUAGAACUGGACAUGGAACAACAGAUCAGCUCCAAAGAGGAAAAGGAGUACGUCAAGGCUGUAUAUUGUCACCCUGCUUAUUUAACUUAUAUACGGAGUACAUCGUGAGAAACACUGGGCUGAAAGAAGCACAAGCUGGAAUCAAGAUUGUCGGGAGAAAUAUCAAUAACCUCAGAUAUGCAGAUGACACCACCCUUAUGGCAGAAAGUGAAGAGGAACUAAAAAGCCUCUUGAUGAAAGUGAAAGAGGAGAGUGAAAAAGUUGGCUUAAAGCUCAACAUUCAGGAAACUAAGAUCAUGGCAUGUGGUCCCAUCACUUCAUGGGAAAUAGAUGGGGAAACAGUGGAAACAGUGUCAGACUUUAUUUCUUUGGGCUCCAAUAUCACUGCAGAUGGUGAUUACAGCCAUAAAAUUAAAAGAUGCUUACUCCUUGGAAAGAAAGUUAUGACCAACCUAGAUAGCAUAUUCAAAAGCAGAGACGUUACUCUGCCAACAAAAGUCCGUCUAGUCAAGGCUAUAGUUUUUCCAUGGUCAUGUAUGGAUGGAUGUGAGAGUUGGACUGUGAAGAAGGCUGAGUGCCGAACUGAUGCUUUUGAACUGUGGUAUUGGAGAAGAUUCUUGAGAGUCCCAUGGACUGCAAGGAGAUAUAACCAGUCCAUUUUAAGGAGAUCGGAGAUCAGCCCUGGGAUUUCUUUGGAAGGAAUGAUGCUAAAGCUGAAACUCCAGUACUUUGGCCACCUCAUGUGA